ensembl:rRNA 5S_rRNA 5S ribosomal RNA
CUCUACAGCCAUACCACCCUGAAUGCACCCAAUCUCAUCUGAUCUCAGAAAAACAGAAAUAGGGUUUCGCUAUGUUGUCCAGG